UACGUAGGGUGCAAGCGUUAAUCGGAAUUACUGGGCGUAAAGCGUGCGCAGGCGGUUUUGUAAGACAGAUGUGAAAUGCCCGGGCUUAACCUGGGAACUGCAUUUGUGACUGCAAGGCUAGAGUUUGGCAGAGGGGGGUAGAAUUCCGACGUGUAGCAGUGAAAUGCGUAGAUAUGUGGAGGAAUACCGAUGGCGAAGGCGGCUACCUGGACCGGUUCUGACGCUGAGGCGCGAAAGCGUGGGUAGCAAACAGG
rnacentral:rRNA from 1 species